rnacentral:ncRNA from 1 species
GUUGGGCUUUUGUUCUUUUUGUUUAAAGGUUUUUAACAGGAGGUUCAGAAAAUUUCCCAUAGGGAAACUUGGUUUUGGCGGCCAAGCGUUCAUAGCGAGGUCGCUUUUUGAUCCUUCGAUGUCGGCUCUUCCUAUCAUUGUGAAGCAAAAUUCACCAAGCGUUGGAUUGUUCACCCAUGCAAGGGAACGUGAGCUGGGUUUAGACCGUCGUGAGACAGGUUAGUUUUACCCUACUAAUGACAAAACGUUGUUGCGACAGCAUUCCUGCGUAGUACGAGAGGAACCGCAGGUACGGACCAAUGGCACAAUACUUGUUCGAGCGAACAGUGGUAUGACGCUACGUCCGUUGGAUUAUGCCUGAACGCCUCUAAGGUCGUAUCCGUGCUGGACUGCAAUGAUAAAUAAGGGGCAAUUUGCAUUGUAUGGCUUCUAAACCAUUUAAAGUUUAUAAUUUAUUUUAUAAACGACAAUGGAUGUGAUGCCAAUGUAAUUUGUAACAUAGUAAAUUAGGAGGAUCUUCGAUCACCUGAUGCCGCGCUAGUUACAUAUAAAAGCAUUAUUUAAUACAAUGACAAAGCCUAGAAUCAAUUGUAAACGACUUUUGUAACAGGCAAGGUGUUGUAAGUGGUUGAGCAGCUGCCAUACUGCGAUCCACUGAAGCUUAUCCUUUGCUUGAUGAUUCGA